GACGAACGCUGGCGGCGUGCUUAACACAUGCAAGUCGAACGGAAAGGCCCUGCUUGCAGGGUACUCGAGUGGCCAACGGGUGAGUAACACGCGGGUGGUCUACCCUGCUAUUCGGGUUGAGCAUGGGCGAGUGGGUCUAGUAACGGCUAGGAACUAUAUUUAGUGUGAUGGUUGGAAAGUUUUUUCGGUUUAGGAUGAGCUCGCUGCGUAGCUGCUUGCUGGUGGGGUAAUGGCCUACCAAGGCGGCGGAGGGUAGCCGGCCUGAGAGGGUGGACCGCGACACUGGGACCUAGGGACGGCCCAGACAGCGACGGGUGGCAGCAGGGCGGAAGCCUGCACGAUGGGCGCAAGCCUGAUGCAGCGGCUCCGCGUGGGGGAUGACGGCGUUCGGGUUGUAAACUCCUUUCGCUAGGGACGAAGCUUUUUGUGACGGUACCUAGAUAGGAAGCACCGGCUAACUACGUG
rnacentral:rRNA from 1 species